GUGGUUGUGGCUCAGCGGUAGAGCGAUCGCCUAGCACAUGCGAGGAGCUAGGUUCGAUCCUCAGCAUCACA
rnacentral:tRNA from 1 species